GAUGAACGCUGGCGGCGUGCCUAAUACAUGCAAGUCGAGCGAACGGACGAGAAGCUUGCUUCUCUGAUGUUAGCGGCGGACGGGUGAGUAACACGUGGAUAACCUACCUAUAAGACUGGGAUAACUUCGGGAAACCGUAGCUAAUACCGGAUAAUAUUUUGAACCGCAUGGUUCAAAAGUGAAAGACGGUCUUGCUGUCACUUAUAGAUGGAUCCGCGCUGCAUUAGCUAGUUGGUAAGGUAACGGCUUACCAAGGCAACGAUGCAUAGCCGACCUGAGAGGGUGAUCGGCCACACUGGAACUGAGACACGGUCCAGACUCCUACGGGAGGCAGCAGUAGGGAAUCUUCCGCAAUGGGCGAAAGCCUGACGGAGCAACGCCGCGUGAGUGAUGAAGGUCUUCGGAUCGUAAAACUCUGUUAUUAGGGAAGAACAGAUGUGGAAGUAACUGUGCACAUCUUGACGGUACCUAAUCAGAAAGCCACGGCUAACUACGUG
rnacentral:rRNA from 1 species